CACGUAGGGGACGAGCGUUGUCCGGAUUCAUUGGGCGUAAAGCGCGCGUAGGCGGCUCGGAAAGUCGGUCGUGAAAUGCCGGGGCUCAACCCCGGGACUGCGUCCGAUACUCUCGAGCUGGAGGCAGGUAGGGGAGAUCGGAAUUCCUGGUGUAGCGGUGAAAUGCGCAGAUAUCAGGAAGAACACCCGUGGCUAAGGCGGCUCUCUAGUACGGUACUGACGCUGAGACGCGAAAGCGUGGGGAGCGAACAGG
rnacentral:rRNA from 1 species